UGCGGUUGAGACCACCAUUUUGAGAGGCACUUGGCUGCAGGCAGGACCUCGUGAACAAUUUGGUCAAUAAGGUAACGAAGAUAUUACUUUUUCCAUAGUCCUUGAAGGACUUUGGGUAGCGCUUCCUUUCCUUCCUGUCAACCUCUCCAGAGGGGUGUCUGCUGAUGGCAGAAAGAUUACAUCACCUCUGGUUGGAACCCUGGACAGUGCCACAACCUUUGGCUUGGUGUCCAAUGUGAUGCCCCAUCGCCACCUUCUGACCUAACUUCUUCUCAGCUCUGUGACUACUUCAAGAGGGGCAUUCCUGUGUGGAGGCGUGCCAGGCAGCUCGUUUUACCUGUGAACUUGCGUACUUUCACUUCAUCAACAACAAAGACCACCAUGGCUGGUUCAACACCUGCAAGACUGAAGGUGAUUUUAGGAGAGAACAACAUUGAAAAGCUGACUCUUCCAAAUGGCAUCCCAGAGUCACUUGAAGACCUUCUCAGCACGAUAAAGACUACCUUUGGGUUAAAAGGUAACUUCAGACUGCAAUACAUGGACCAAGACUUUGGCAACGACUUCUUCAAUCUGAAUUCUA